CACGUAGGGCGCAAGCGUUGUCCGGAAUUAUUGGGCGUAAAGAGCUCGUAGGCGGACUGUCACGUCCGCUGUGAAAAGCUAGGGCUUAACCCUGGCCUUGCAGUGGAUACGGGCAGACUAGAGGUAGGUAGGGGAGAAUGGAAUUCCCGGUGUAGCGGUGAAAUGCGCAGAUAUCGGGAGGAACACCGGUGGCGAAGGCGACUUACUGGACGAUUGUUGACGCUGAGGUGCGAAAGCGUGGGGAGCAAACAGG
rnacentral:rRNA from 1 species